rnacentral:rRNA from 1 species
GACGAACGCUGGCGGCGUGCUUAACACAUGCAAGUCGAACGGAAAGGCCCUGCUUUUGUGGGGUGCUCGAGUGGCGAACGGGUGAGUAACACGUGAGUAACCUGCCCUUGACUUUGGGAUAACUUCAGGAAACUGGGGCUACUACCGGAUAGGAGAUCCCGUUCCAUGGUGGGGGUUGGAAAGUUUCGGCGGUUGGGGAUGGACUCGCGGCUUAUCGGCUUGUUGGUGGGGUAGUGGCUUACCAAGGCAUUGACGGGUAGCUGGCCUGAGAGGGUGACCGGCCACAUAGGGACUGAGAUACGGCCCAGACGCCUACGGGAGGCAGCAGGGGGGAAUAUUGCACAAGGGGCGGAAGCCUGAUGCAGCAACGCCGCGUGCGGGAUGGCGGCCUUCGGGUUGUAAACCGCUUUCACCUGUGACGAAGCGUGAGUGACGGUAAUGGGUAAAGAAGCACCGGCUAACUACGUG